rnacentral:rRNA from 1 species
UUUUUGAAUUAAUAUAAAGUCUAAUCUGCCCCCUGAUAAAUUAUUAAAGGGCUGCAGUAUUUUGACUGUACAAAGGUAGCAUAAUCAUUUGUCUCUUAAUUGGUGACUUGUAUGAAAGAUUGGAUGAAAUAUGAACUGUCUCAUUAUAAUAAGUAAAAUUUAAUUUUUUAGUAAAAAAGCUAAAAUAAUUUUAAAAGACGAGAAGACCCUAUAGAGUUUAAUAAUUAUUUUUAUAUAAGAAAAAAUAUAAAAAUUUAAAUUUAAAUAAAAGUAGUUAUUUUGUUGGGGUGAUAGAAAAAUUAAAUUAACUUUUUUUAAUAGAUAUACAUUAAUAAGUGAUUAAAUGAUCCAUUAAUAAUGAUUAGAAGAAAAAAUUACCUUAGGGAUAACAGCGUAAUUUUUUUUUUUAGGUCAAAUAAGAAAAAGAGUUUGCGACCUCGAUGUUGGAUUAAGAUAAAAUUUAAAUGUAAAAGUUUAAAGUUUUGAUCUGUUCGAUCAUUAAAA